rnacentral:lncRNA from 1 species
CCGGCUGCGCCCCGAGCCCGCGGCUGGGCCGGGCCGAACCGGCGGCGGCCGGGACCGAGCGGGGAUCUGCAUCCGGAACCGGAGAAUCCGCAUCCCGAACCGAACCGGGGAAUCCGCAUCCCGAACCGAACCGGAGAAUCCGCAUCCCGAACCGAGCGGGGAUCUGCAUCCCGAAGCGGAGAAUCUGCAUCCCGAACAGAACCGGGGAACCCGCAUCCGGAACCGCCUGCAUCCGGAACCGUCUUCAUCCCGAACCGGGGGGGAAUCCGCAUCCCGAACCGGGGAAUCUGCAUCCGGAACCGGCUGCAGCAGGUACCGAGAGGAGCCGCACCCCGAACCGGCGGCUUCCCGAACCGACUGAAUCCCGAACCGGGAGGGAUCCGCACCCGCUCCGCUGCCCCUGCAGCCCAGGCUGGUCCCGAACCGGGCAGGACCCGCAUCCCGAACCGGUAGGAAUCCGAACCCUGGGGAAGCUGCAGACGAGCCCGUAGGGACCCGGACCCUGAACCAGCCCCGCACGCCGAGCCAGCCGUGCCCAAACCGAGCGGGUCCCGCACCCCGAACCGGGCAGAACCGGCACCCCGAACCGGGCAGAACCCGCACCCCGAACCGGGCGGGUCCCGCACCCCGAACCGGGCGGGUCCCGCACCACGAACCGGGCGGGUCCCGCACCCCGACCCAGCCGUGCCAUGGCCGCGCUCCCAGCUCCGGCUGCCCCUGGGCACUGGAGGGACCAGAACCCCAAAUCUGCUGCACCCUGACCCUGCUGGGUCCAAACUGGGAGGUGCCCGUGCCCUGAAGCAGCCACGCACCCCAAACUGGCUGAUCCAGGAGAUUCCUGCACCCCAAACUGGCUGAUCCAGGAGAUUCCUGCACCCCAAACUGGCUGUGCACUGACCCUGCUGCACCCCAAACCAGCGGGGCCCUGCACCCCAAAUUGGCUGAUCCGGAGGUCACUCAUCCCAAUCUUGCUGAUCCAGAAGAUUCCUGCACCCCAAUCUUGCUGAUCCAGGAGAUUCCUGCACCCCAAAUUUUGCUGAUCCAGAGGUCUCUCACCCCAAUUUUGCUGAUCCAGAAGAUUCCUGCACCCGAAUCUCACUGAUCCAAGUGCUCCCUGCACCCCAGUUUUGCUGAUCCGGAGGUCCCUCACCCCAGUUUUGCUGAUCCAGAGGUCCCUACACCCCAAUCUUGCUGAUCCAGGAGAUUCCUGAACCCCAAAUUGGCUGAUCCGGACGUCACUCAUCCCGAUGUUGCUGAUCCAAGAGAUUCCUGCACCCCAAAUUUUGCUGAUCCAGAAGUCUGUCACCCCAAUUUUGCUGAUCCAGGAGGUUUUUGCACCCCAGUUUUGGUGAUACGGAGGUCCCUCA